GCCAGGCAUGGUUGCAUGCACCUGUAAUCCCAGCUACUUGGGAGGCUGAGGCAGAAGAAUUGCUUGAACCCGGGGGACAGAGGUUGCAGUGAGCUACGAUUGAACCACUGCACCCCAUCCUGGGCAACAGAGCAAGACUCCAUCUCAUAAAAAANNNNNNNNNNUUUUUUAUGAGAUGGAGUCUUGCUCUGUUGCCCAGGAUGGGGUGCAGUGGUUCAAUCGUAGCUCACUGCAACCUCUGUCCCCCGGGUUCAAGCCAUUCUCCUGCCUCAG
rfam:Chlorocebus sabaeus isolate 1994-021 chromosome 10, whole genome shotgun sequence.